UAAAGGCAAGCAAGGUGGCUAGUAGAGUCUGGUUGACAGUUUUUGUUUAUUAUUAUUAAUUUUUUGGACAGAUUCCUCCAAUAAUAGCAAAAGAAGCCGGGCAGGCAAACAGAAACAAACGAAAUAAAAUAAAAUUAGAACACGGAGUUGACUGGUCGCCCUUUUCCCCAAAUGGAAAACAUGAAAUAUAUAUUAUUGUAUUUCCAGUAAUACAUUUUCUGCUUGUUCUUUCAUGGCAGGUUCUCAGAUUUAACUUUCAGCGAAAAAGUUUCAUUUUAUAGUUGCCAUUGGAUUAACCAGCACCUCCUGCAUACCACUGGCAACUUUCUAAGAGGCGAGGAUUCUCCCUUACUUUCUUCUCAACAAUCAUCUUUCUAUCAAAUGCUAUUGAAGAUGAAUCUGAGAUCAAGAAUAAAAGUAUGCGGUUAGUCUUCUCUUCAUAUUUGACAUUUAAAAUGUUCCAUUUCUAUGCAAAUAAUACAACAGUAAUACUCAGUUUUAUUAUAAUGACAUUAUUUUACUUUCAAACGUUUCGUAUACAGUUGUUGGUUUUUAGGAAGUAGGCCAACUUUUUUAAGACUAAGAACUCGUUGAAAUACCUGCAGUACAGAAGUAACCAGGUGAAGUAGUGACCUACACUGACAUGGUCUAUUUUCCAAUUUUUUUCCACUUGAUUUUCAAUCUCUGCCCAUUUCCUAUUCGACCGUAGAGAAUUUUCAGGGCAUCCGAAACUUUGGAGUAAACCUUUCCUUUAAAAACAAUUUGUUGGCUCCUUUGGCCCAACUUGCCCUCUUUUCCCAUAAGUGUGAGAAUUUCUACUAGGCGUCGGUGCUCUAAACUCCUCCAAGAGAUCUUUCAAUUGUCAGUUGUUUUUCCUUAUACUUUAAAUAGACAGCAAAAUGCGUUACCAUCAGCCGUUUCUAUGUAUAUACCUGUGUUUGUUGCAAAAGUAACACCCACAGUGAUCCAGCAAAGUGAAAAAAAACAUUUAGUUUUGGUGCCGCAGAUCUUCUUGCCCUUUCAUUAAGAAUUCUGGUACAAAUUGAUUUGGACCAAUUCUCAGAAGAUAUAUAUCAUUUCAAAUUAAAAAUGCUAAGCAUGUCUGUACAAGACACUAGGAGAAGGUUACAAUAUUUGUUAGAGUCAAAACCAGCAGUAUGUUUUUGGCCGUUAGGAAAACUACUAAGCCAUCUCUGCCAAAUUAUAUUAUCUUAUCUUUCUGAAGAACAAUUAAAUAAGAUGUAAUCCAAUAUGCCGGCUGCUAACAGUUUGUUUUUUAAUUAUCAUAGCAGGACUUUGUAACUUACCAUUGUUGAAAUUCCCACAGAAGAGUCUUAAAAUGGCAUGACUCUGUCAAACUACAGAGGAUGAAUAUGGCAAAACUAUUCUCAACUUAAUCUGUUAACCUUGACAAUUAUGUAUAUAUAUGUGGAAGCUAUUGUUGUUAAGAAAAGCAAGCUCCCUCAAUGGAUUGUGGAACACCUUUAUGUGUAGGAUUCACGGCCCUUCUUUUUUUUAUUGUAUUCCAUCAAACUAGCCAUGCAAAAGAUAUAGAUCACUAUUGUUCCUCUUCCUGUGGCAAUAUCCACAACAUAAGCUACCUUUUUCGACUUCAAAGUGAUGCAGACCACUGCGGUGAUCUAAAGUACAAUCUUUCUUGCGAAAACAACCUUACUGUGUUGUACUUAUACUCUGGAAGAUACUAUGUGCAAUCAAUAAAUUACAGUAACUACACUAUCAGACUUGUGGUUCCCAAUAUUCAGAAGGACAAUUGCUCCUCCAUUCCUUAUUA